rnacentral:rRNA from 1 species
GACGAACGCUGGCGGCGUGCUUAACACAUGCAAGUCGAACGGAAAGGCCCUGCUUUUGUGGGGUGCUCGAGUGGCGAACGGGUGAGUAGCACGUGAGUAACCUGCCCUUGACUUUGGGAUAACUUCAGGAAACUGGGGCUAAUACCGGAUAGGAGCUCCUGCUGCAUGGUGGGGGUUGGAAAGUUUCGGCGGUUGGGGAUGGACUCGCGGCUUAUCAGCUUGUUGGUGGGGUAGUGGCUUACCAAGGCUUUGACGGGUAGCCGGCCUGAGAGGGUGACCGGCCACAUUGGGACUGAGAUACGGCCCAGACUCCUACGGGAGGCAGCAGUGGGGAAUAUUGCACAAUGGGCGGAAGCCUGAUGCAGCAACGCCGCGUGCGGGAUGACGGCCUUCGGGUUGUAAACCGCUUUCGCCUGUGACGAAGCGUGAGUGACGGUAAUGGGUAAAGAAGCACCGGCUAACUACGUGCCAGCAGCCGCGGUGAUACGUAGGGUGCGAGCGUUGUCCGGAUUUAUUGGGCGUAAAGGGCUCGUAGGUGGUUGAUCGCGUCGGAAGUGUAAUCUUGGGGCUUAACCCUGAGCGUGCUUUCGAUACGGGUUGACUUGAGGAAGGUAGGGGAGAAUGGAAUUCCUGGUGGAGCGGUGGAAUGCGCAGAUAUCAGGAGGAACACCAGUGGCGAAGGCGGUUCUCUGGGCCUUUCCUGACGCUGAGGAGCGAAAGCGUGGGGAGCGAACAGGCUUAGAUACCCUGGUAGCCCACGCUGUAAACGGUGGGUACUAGGUGUGGGGUCCAUUCCACGGGUUCCGUGCCGUAGCUAACGCUUUAAGUACCCCGCCUGGGGAGUACGGCCGCAAGGCUAAAACUCAAAGGAAUUGACGGGGCCCCGCACAAGCGGCGGAGCAUGCGGAUUAAUUCGAUGCAACGCGUAGAACCUUACCUGGGUUUGACAUGGAUCGGGAGUGCUCAGAGAUGGGUGUGCCUCUUUUGGGGUCGGUUCACAGGUGGUGCAUGGCUGUCGUCAGCUCAUGUCGUGAGAUGUUGGGUUAAGUCCCGCAACGAGCGCAACCCUUGUUCACUGUUGCCAGCACGUUAUGGUGGGGACUCAGUGGAGACCGCCGGGGUCAACUCGGAGGAAGGUGGGGAUGACGUCAAGUCAUCAUGCCCCUUAUGUCCAGGGCUUCACGCAUGCUACAAUGGCUGGUACAGAGAGUGGCGAGCCUGUGAGGGUGAGCGAAUCUCGGAAAGCCGGUCUCAGUUCGGAUUGGGGUCUGCAACUCGACCUCAUGAAGUCGGAGUCGCUAGUAAUCGCAGAUCAGCAACGCUGCGGUGAAUACGUUCCCGGG